rnacentral:rRNA from 1 species
AACGAACGCUGGCGGCAUGCCUAACACAUGCAAGUCGAACGAGACCUUCGGGUCUAGUGGCGCACGGGUGCGUAACGCGUGGGAACCUGCCCUUAGGUUCGGAAUAACUCCCCGAAAGGGGUGCUAAUACCGGAUAAUGUCUUCGCACCAAAGAUUUAUCGCCUUUGGAUGGGCCCGCGUUGGAUUAGCUAGUUGGUAGGGUAAAAGCCUACCAAGGCGACGAUCCAUAGCUGGUCUGAGAGGAUGAUCAGCCACACUGGGACUGAGACACGGCCCAGACUCCGACGGGAGGCAGCAGUAGAGAGUAUUGGACAAUGGGCGAAAGCCUGAUCCAGCAGUGCCGCGUGAGUGAUGAAGGCCUUAGGGUUGUAAAGCUCUUUUACCCGGGAUGAUAAUGACAGUACCGGGAGAAUAAGCUCCGGCUAACUCCGUG